rnacentral:lncRNA from 1 species
AAGUUCGACCUUAGAGGCAACAAUCCCUUCACCAAGGAACUUUUUUUCCAAAAAGAUUGCCUUAAGGCUGACAAACACCUUUUGCUCAUCAGCCACGUAGAAAUAAUACCUUUUGGUCUCUUUUGGGUACCCUAUAAAAUUACACUUGUCAGACCUAGGUCCAAGCUUGUCCGUAAUUAAAUGUUUAACAUAAGUCGGACACCCCCAAACCCUAAGGUGCGAGAGUACUGGCUUAUGUCCUAUCCAUAUCUCAUAU